rnacentral:RNase_P_RNA from 1 species
GAGGAAAGUCCGGGCUCUACUUGGGAAAAUAUAGCUUUUUGAAAAAAAGUGUAGGUAACUACGAGGAUAGUGCCACAGAAACAAACCGCCUUAAGUCAAUUUUUGGUAAGGGUGCAAUGGUAUGGUAAAAGCAUACCAGAAAUAUUUUCAAGAUAUUUGCUAGGUAAACCCCUUAUAAGAGCAAAGUAGCUAGUAAAUAAUUUGUUCCUAUUAUAUGGUUACAAUAUGUUAUAUCAUGACUAGUAUUUUAUACUGCAUUGCAUAUUUUUAUAGCAAUAGAUCAAUAAUUACCCUUUUUAUAUUUUUUAGUUUAAAUAUAUAAAUAAGAACAAAAUCCGGCUUAC